ACAGUAUGAUGAGGCUAGCCUAUUGUUUGUACCUAUUCGCAUGUGAAUAAACAACGCUAGCUAGAUCAGACUUCAGAGUUCUAUAGGCAAAGCUUUUAUUAAGUGACAUUAAUGUAACAUCAGAGUAGAUAACCGUGCAGUUGUUCAUCUUGGGAAUCCUGCAUGACUCCUAUUACCAGAGGUGGGUAACCCGGCUUCGAAGAGUAAAAAGACUGACCAUAUAUUUGCUACAUCACCAUGCACUUAACCAACUGAUUCUAAUUAGCAUAACUCUUCAGCAUGAUAGGAGAAUUAAUUAUUGUAAUCAGCUGGUUUAGUUCAUGUUGGUGGAGCAAAUACAUGGUCAGUCUUUUUACUCUUUGAAGCCGGGUUACCCACCUCUGCCUAUUACGUAUCUGCAACUGUGGUUAUAACGUAAAUUAGGUGUGCGUAGUUGUUUUUUUUAAGUACAUCACUUUAAGGUUACGUGUCUUAGCUGCUUGUAAUAAUCAAAUAAUUACAUUUUUCACUUGGUCGCCAGCCAUUUUACUUGCAGUUCAGGAAAGAUGCCCAAAGAUGUGCAAAUAGGCAACUCUAGGAGGACAGGCCCCAAGAGAUGAGCAAAACAGGAAGCACAGGAUGUGACUGAGACAGAGGAUGAAAGGAGACUGUCAAACCGCAACCUUUCCACUAGACCAACUUCACCCAUCUGCUUGCUAUAAGAAUAAUUAUAACUAGAUAUAACCGGCUAUAAGCUAGAUUAAAAAGUGCCCCACUUCGAGUGGAAAAUAACUGGGGCAUAGUUCAGUUAUAGGCUUGCAAAAUGUAGAGCACGCCUCUUGUGCAUGAUGAAAAAGUACUGAGACACUGUAUAUAAGAAGCUGUCUGUACACACCUAACAUCAGAGAGUUUUGUGAGUACUCUCUCAUUCUUUUCUCUGUUUGCAAGCUGAAUAAAAGUCCUAUGAGUGAACAAA